rnacentral:misc_RNA from 1 species
AAUCUGACUCAGAACGGGUGUGGUAGAUCACGUCCACCCUGGCAGAGGAAGUAAAAGCCCCUCUCCAGACGGUGCUGCUACAGAUAUACACACCUCAAGACAGCACAAGAACAGGACCUACUACAGUAUCACCACGACUCAACUCGCUCUACGUUCACGAUCAAGGCGAGGCAUGGACCCCAACGUAAAACUAUGGUCGGCGCUGCCUGCGGCGAAUAUCAGAGGCGCAGAGGAGGCGUUGGCUGCCGGGGCCAACGUAAAUCUACAGAAUUCCGAGGGCGACAGUCCCCUCCACGCCGCGGCCCUCAGGGGAGAAGCGCCCGUCGUCCGCCUCCUACUGACCCACGGAGCUCAAGUAAAUGCAGAUGAUGACGAGGGUUUCACACCGCUCAUGGUGGCAGCGCUUAACGGCCACACAACUGUCCUAAAGGAGCUGUUAGCUGGUGGGGCGAACCCGAACCAGACCAGACUAGACACCGGGGAGACGGCUCUGCACCUGGCCAUGAACAGUAACAGCCGACAGGUAGUCACUGCGCUGCUUGACGCCGGCGUUGAUGUUAAUGCUCAGACGAGUAAUGAUAAGUCCACACCGCUGCAUGUUGCUGCAGAGUUUGAUAAUCAGCGCCUGGCCAGGGUGCUAGUGGGCCACCCAGUGUGUGACAUUCUGAUGAAAAACAGCAGCGGCAAAACCGCUGCUCAAGUAGCCACAGACCACGAUCACCACCGCUUGGCAGAGUACCUGGUCAUGUGCAGCUCACCAAACAGCCCCGUUGACCAGAUGCUUGUGUCCGCCAUACUAGCACUGGAUGUUGACAAGGCGGCAGAGGCGGUGGCUGCCGGUGCCAAUGUCAACCUACAAGCUCCUGGAGGUAAUACUCCCCUCCACGCUGCCGCCCUCAGAGGGGAGGCGCCCAUCAUCCUCCUCCUACUGACCCAUGACGGUGAUGUAAACAAGGCCGACGAUGACGGUUUCACACCACUCAUGGUGGCUGCACUCAACGGUCGUCUGGACGCCGUGAAGGACUUGAUGGCUGGUGGGGCCAACCCCAAGUUGACCCGUUUAGACACCGGGGAGACGGCUCUGCACAUGGCUAUGAUCAGUAACAGCCGGGAGGUGGUCACUGCGCUGCUUGAUGCCGGCGCCGACGUCAAUGCUCAGACGAAAGACAAAUCCACACCGUUGCAUGUUGCUGCAGAGUUUAAUAAACAGCACCUAGCUGAGAAGCUAUUGAAGCACCCGACGUGUGAUGCAACCUUAGAGGACGUAAAUGGCCACACUGCCGCCCAGGUGGCCAGAAUGUUUCGCCAUGAUACACUGGCCUCCAUGCUGGGUGGUGCUGACGACGUGGACAGCUCUCUGACCGCGUCACCACUACAAGAAGCGGGAAUGACGGUGCAGGUGGUGUUUGGAAGACCUAUGCCGCCCGGAGAAAACGUGUAUAAGUGUACCACAAACCCCAAGGGCCACGUCCUCAUCCUCAACUACGAGUUCACUGGUACACAUAAUGAACGUCGUGGCUCUACUACCGACGUCAAAAACCUCAACAAUGUCUUUACACAAAUGGGCUACAGGGUGACGACUCACAAGGAUCUAAACAAACAAGAAUCAAUAAAAGCCCUCGAAGAGUUCCGCAACAACGAGGAGCUGGGUAAGGUGGACUCUGUGUUCGUCUGUGUCCUCUCCCACGGCGAGGACAAAGAAACCUUCUACACAGCUGACAAUAAGACACUUACAGUGAACGAGGUCCGUAACAUGUUCACCGACAACGAGUGUCCCAACCUGAAGGGCAAACCUAAAGUCUUCCUCAUGAACUUCUGCCGUGGGAAAAAGAAGGAGAAGGGCUGCAUCAUCGACAAAACACGUACAGAUUCUGUUAUGAUACCAAGAAGCCCCGAACACCACAGCGACUCCACAGAUUCAGUGAUGGAAGUCCCCAGAGAUAUGUUCACAUUCUACGCCACCGUCGAGGGGAUCAUGGCUCUUCGGAAUGUUUAUGAAGGGACUUUCUUCGUACAGGCGCUCUGUCAGAUACUCGCUGCGUACGCUCACAGAGACCACCUGUCGGAACUAGCCCUCAAAGUGAGGAAUCAUAUGGUGGACAGGAUGUGCGGCACCACACCGGACUGGGAGGAUUACUUCUUUAAGAAGUUUUACCUCAACCCCACGAGUCAAACAGGACGCUGAAGGCGGCAAUACCUCCCACCAGUGUACACAACCUCGGCUCUCCCUCCGUCACAACUUAUACUUGGUUUAGGUUCAUUAUACUGACUCUUUGAUCAUAGCUUUAGGUUCAUUAUACUGACUCGUUGAUCAUAGCUUUAGGUUCAUUAUACUGACUCGUUGAUUAUAGCUUUAGGUUCAUUAUACUGACUCUGAUUAUAGCUUUACUACAUAAUAUUUGCUUACUUCAUCAUAAAAGGGUUUUGAGUACUAGUUAUGGCUGUAAUGAUAUUUUGAAACAAGUGUGCAACUGUAUACGUACAUGUUUAAGAGUACAAUACAACCCUCUCUCUCUCUCUCUCUCUCUCUCUCUCUCUUUACUCAUGUGUUUGCCAUUGACGACACAUUAAUAAAAAGAGUUACAUGCAA